AAAAGGGCAGAGCGGGUGAGUGCGUGUACUUUGAGACGACGGGUAUAACUGUCACACAUUACAGAAGUAUGGAGUUCUUGAAAGUCCUCGUGGUUUUGAUCGUAGUUUCGCACGGUUCGCUAUCAAAGCCGGUGAGUUCUGAGGAUGAACUAUAUGUCAUUGUCGGAAAACUAGAGAGAGUCUCGCAGCAAGUUUUAAGACAGUAUGUGGCUGACGGUAGUAGGCACGAGGAUUCUAUGAGCGGUAUCGUGUCACUGAGCGGAUCUACACCAGAAUUCCCCAUCCCCGGUACCAGACCACUCGGGCUUUGGGGGCUCGAUAACGACGAACUUGACCCCCUCCUCUCCAACAUACAAAAGAAUCAACAAAAUGUUCGGAAAGCUCCUAAAGCCAUACUUCAGCAGUUUCCCAAGUGGACCAUAUUCAUGCAAUGGAGAUGCAGUUAACACCACGUAAUGUUGUUGCAAUGCUGAAUGCAUGGUAUGACAACAAUGAACAAUGAUGACCAAAGAACAUGCUUUCUUUAACGUUGCCAGAGAGCUCUUAGAUGCCCAUUUCCAGUGUGCAGUGACAAGAAUCAACCAAAUAGUUUUCGAUGUUUUCAAGGACCAAGUACGUGCAAUGGCCAAAGAUGAUUGGAAAAUUAACACUUACGUGAGGAAAGUCUUGGGGAUUUGGAUAACAGAUAUGGCCGUUGUGGACAAAGUCGCCAAUAAAAUGGUUUUGACGGCGCAUAGACAUGCCUAAGGGGACAUUAUGGAGCACAUUGAAUAUUUCCAACUUAAUGGUUAACCUACUUUCCGAACACUCCAUUCCUGAAAAAUAAUGGAGUGUUCGAACAAAAGAAUGACAUCAUAGGUGGAUUUAAAAAAAAAUGAAAAUGCUCAUGUGGAAAGCUGAGCAAGAUAAAUGGACACCAGUCAUGUUCGAUGAGAAAUUGAAUAAACUUUUCACGGACAAUGACCUUGUCUUUCAAUGUCCGAGUGUGCAAGAUCUAUGGAAAUUCCAUCAAACAAUUGUUAGCCAUUUUCAAGAGAGGUAAGGCUUAAAUUGUACAAUUUUCGUCGUUUUAUUAUAUUUUUCUGUAUUGCUAAAUAUCUGAUUCACUAGAUGAAUGUACCGGUUCCAUUGGACUUUUUCCCCUGGAAAACGUAAAGCAGGUUAACCGAAAUAAAACCCUUUGCUGAGACAGAGGCUUGGCUAAAAGAAGUCCUAUCCACAUACAUGACUACAGACGCCACUCCCGCCAUUACUGCCAUCCUCCAAGUGUACACGGACUACAUCAGGUCGGCCAUGCUGCACUUCGAACAAGUGGAGAACCACGUGACCAGCGGAAAUACGGCCGACAUCACAAAUUUCAUGUCGGAAUUCCUCGCACCGUAUCAGCUACAGUAUUUGCAGUCCAUCUUUGAAUUCCUCAAUACUGUGAAUACCCGCGACAUCAUGGAAAUGGGACAAGUAAGGAAUGAAAAUACCGGUAACGGACAUUCCAAGGGUAGAUGCACGGAAUUCAACGGAGAAUGUAGAUGAAACGGACACCAUGAGCGUAUGAUGUAUGGGGUAUCGACAUGGGAUAUCCGAACCGUGUGAAAAGGGCUAUUCCUUGCAAAUCAUUCACCCUUUCGUAGUGCUUUCAAAAACUUCUUUGCUUUGAAAAAUAAAAUAUCAUAUACCAAA